rnacentral:rRNA from 1 species
UACAGGGGGUGCAAACGUUGCUCGGAAUUAUUGGGCGUAAAGAGCUCGUAGGCGGUCUGUCGCGUCGGUCGUGAAAACUUGGGGCUUAACCCUGAGCUUGCGGUCGAUACGGGCAUGACUGGAGUUCGGCAGGGGAGACUGGAAUUCCUGGUGUAGCGGUGAAAUGCGCAGAUAUCAGGAGGAACACCGGUGGCGAAGGCGGUUCUCUGGGCACGAUCUGACGCUGAGGAGCGAAAGUGUGGGGAGCGAACAGG